CAUUUAUGGAGAGUUUGAUCCUGGCUCAGGAUGAACGCUGGCGGCGUGCCUAAUACAUGCAAGUCGAGCGCGAGAUUGGGGAGCUUGCUCCCCAUGAUCGAGCGGCGGACGGGUGAGUAACACGUAGGCAACCUACCCAUCAGACUGGGAUAACCGCGGGAAACCGUGGCUAAUACCGGAUGACCCUUUAUGACACCGG
rnacentral:rRNA from 1 species